UACGGAGGGAGCUAGCGUUGUCCGGAAUUAUUGGGCGUAAAGAGCUUGUAGGCGGUUUGUCGCGUCUGCUGUGAAAUUUCGGGGCUCAACCCCGAACUUGCAGUGGGUACGGGCAGACUAGAGUGUGGUAGGGGAGACUGGAAUUCCUGGUGUAGCGGUGAAAUGCGCAGAUAUCAGGAGGAACACCGAUGGCGAAGGCAGGUCUCUGGGCCAUAACUGACGCUGAGAAGCGAAAGCAUGGGGAGCGAACAGG
rnacentral:rRNA from 1 species